GCCUGUUUAUCAAAAACAUGUCUUUUUGUGGUUGAUUUAAAGUCUGGCCUGCCCAAUGAUUAAUUUGAAUGGCCGCGGUAUUAUGACCGUGCAAAGGUAGCAUAAUCAUUAGUUUUUUAAUUGAAAGCUGGUAUGAACGGUCGGACAAGGAAGUUACUGUCUUUGUGCAAUUAUUAGAAAUUAAUAUUUUAGUUAGAAAGCUUAAAUUUUAUUGGGGGACGAGAAGACCCUAUAGAAUUUUAUACAACUUAUUAGGAUGGGUUUUUUGAAUUUUUUUUCUUAUUUUGAUUAUAGUAUUUUGUUGGGGUGACAGAAAAAUUUAAUGAACUUUUUCUUUUUAUUAUCAUUAAUUUAUGAUUUUUUGAUCCAUUUUUUUUUGAUUACAAGAUUAAAUUACCUUAGGGAUAACAGCGUAAUUAAUCUGGAGAGUUCUUAUCGAUAGAUUAGUUUGCGACCUCGAUGUUGGAUUAAAAUUAACUUUAGGUGUAGGGGCUUAAAGGUUGAGUCUGUUCGACUUUUAAAAUUUUACAUGAUCUGAGUUCAGACCGG
rnacentral:rRNA from 1 species